UACGGAGGGGACUAGCGUUGUUCGGAAUUACUGGGCGUAAAGCGCACGUAGGCGGAUUUGUAAGUCAGGGGUGAAAUCCCGGGCUCAACCUCGGAACUGCCUUUGAUACUGCAAAUCUCGAGUCCGGAAGAGGUGAGUGGAAUUCCUAGUGUAGAGGUGAAAUUCGUAGAUAUUAGGAAGAACACCAGUGGCGAAGGCGGCUCACUGGUCCGGUACUGACGCUGAGGUGCGAAAGCGUGGGAGCAACAGGGAUUAAGAUACCGGUACGUCCGA
rnacentral:rRNA from 1 species